AAAAAGGUAAGCUAAAAUAUAAGCUAUUAGGUUCAUACCCUAAAUAUAGGAGUAUUCCUCCUUUUUA
rnacentral:tRNA from 1 species